rnacentral:snRNA from 1 species
GUACUUGUUUCAGCAACACAUAUUUAAAAGUUGGAUCAAUACAGAGUAGAUAAGCAUGGCUGCUGCCUAAGGAUGGCACACAGAUUCAGAAAGCAUUCCAUAUUUUG